rnacentral:rRNA from 1 species
UACGUAGGGGGCUAGCGUUGUCCGGAAUCAUUGGGCGUAAAGAGCGUGUAGGCGGUUCGGUAAGUCCGCUGUGAAAGUCCAGGGCUCAACCCUGGAAUGCCGGUGGAUACUGUCGGGCUAGAGUCCGGAAGAGGCGAGUGGAAUUCCUGGUGUAGCGGUGAAAUGCGCAGAUAUCAGGAGGAACACCCGUGGCGAAGGCGGCUCUCUGGGACGGUACUGACGCUGAGACGCGAAAGCGUGGGGAGCGAACAGG